AAUGCACGCAAGUGCGAUGGGGGGACUCCGAGUGUGGUCUUCCCACAAGGAAGGCCACUUUUCUGCACUGUAAGGAGGUGCCGGAACAAGGGGUGGGCAAUACUGCUGCCAGCCGCCGCGGUAAUAGCAGAACCCCGAGUGGUAGUCGUUAUUAUUGGGCUUSCGCAAAGUGUUCGUAGCCGGCCGUGUAAGUCCGCUGUGSCGCAAAUCCAGGCGCUUAACGUCUGGGCGUGCAGCGGAUACUGCACUGGCUUGGGACCGGACGGUGUCGAGGCUAUUCCAAGAGUAGGGGUGSCGCAAAUCCUSCGCAAAAUUCCUGGAGGAGCGCCUGUGGCGGAAGCGCUCGACAAGUACGGAUCCGACGGUGAGGAACGSCGCAAAGCCAGGGGAGCSCGCAAAGCGGAUUAGAUACCCGCGUAGUCCUGGCCGUUAACAUUGCCUGUUUGAUGUCAGCCAACCUUCGGGGUUGGCUGGUGCCGAAGUGSCGCAAAACGUUSCGCAAACAGGCCGCCUGGGUAGUACGGUC
rnacentral:rRNA from 1 species